AGCUGCAGUAUCUUGACUGUACAAAGGUAGCAUAAUCAUUAGUUUUUUAAUUGAAAGCUUGUAUGAAUGGUUGGAUAAGGAAAUAACUGUCUCUUUCUAAUUAAGUUGAAUUUUAUCUUUAAGUUAAAAAGCUUAAAUUUUAUAAAAAGACGAGAAGACCCUAUAGAGUUUAAUAGAUUUUAUUUAAUUUCUGAUUAGGAUUACAGAAGGUAAUUAGGUGGGUCUAUUUUGUUGGGGUGACACUAGAAUUUAAUAAACUUCUUUUUAUAUAAACAUUGAUUUAUGGUUUAAUGAUCCUGUCUUUCAGAUUACUAGAAUAAAUUACCUUAGGGAUAACAGCGUAAUUUUUUUGGAGAGUUCUUAUCGAUAAAAGAGAUUGCGACCUCGAUGUUGGAUUAAAGUUUAAUAUUGGUGUAGAAGCUAAUAUAUUAAGACUGUUCGA
rnacentral:rRNA from 1 species